AUAAGUAGGGUGCAAGCGUUAAUCGGAAUUACUGGGCGUAAAGCGUGCGCAGGCGGUUCGGAAAGAAGGAUGUGAAAUCCCAGGGCUCAACCUUGGAACUGCAUUCUUAACUACCGAACUAGAGUAUGUCAGAGGGGGGUAGAAUUCCGCGUGUAGCAGUGAAAUGCGUAGAUAUGCGGAGGAAUACCGAUGGCGAAGGCAGCCCCCUGGGAUAAUACUGACGCUCAGGCACGAAAGCGUGGGUAGCAAACAGGAUUAGAUACCCUGGUAGUCCACGCCCUAAACGAUGACAACUAGCUGUUGGGCCCUUCGGGGCUUAGUAGCGCAGCUAACGCGUGAAGUUGACCGCCUGGGGAGUACGGUCGCAAGAUUAAAACUCAAAGGAAUUGACGGGG
rnacentral:rRNA from 1 species